AUUGAACGCUGGCGGCAGGCUUAACACAUGCAAGUCGAACGGUAACAGAAAAUAGCUUGCUAUUUUGCUGACGAGUGGCGGACGGGUGAGUAACGCGUGAGAAAUCUGCCCUGUACAGGGGGAUAGCCAUUGGAAACGAUGAUUAAUACCCCAUAUGACCACAGCAUCGCAUGAUGUAGCGGUAAAAACUCCGGUGGUACAGGAUGAUCUCGCGUCUGAUUAGCUAGUUGGUAGGGUAACGGCCUACCAAGGCGACGAUCAGUAGCCGGCCUGAGAGGGUGAACGGCCACACUGGAACUGAGACACGGUCCAG
rnacentral:rRNA from 1 species